UUCCGGUUGAUCCUGCCGGAGGACAUUGCUAUUGGGAUUCGAUUUAGCCAUGCUAGUCGAGCGAGUUCAGACUCGCGGCGAAUAGCUCAGUAACACGUGGCCAAGCUCCCCUUCAGUCAGCGAUACCCUCGGGAAACUGAGGUUAACAGCUGAUACAAAACGCCAGCUGGAAUGCGGCGUUUCAGAAAGACAUCGCUGAAGGAUGCGGCUGCGGCCGAUUAGGUAGACGGUGGGGUAACGGCCCACCGUGCCAGUAAUCGGUACGGGUGAUGAGAGUCAGAGCCCGGAGACGGAAUCUGAGACAAGAUUCCGGGCCCUACGGGGCGCAGCAGGCGCGAAACCUUUACACUGCACGGAAGUGCGAUAGGGGAAUCCCAAGUGCGAGGGCAUAUUAGCCCUCGCUUUUCUCGACUGUAAGGUGGUCGACGAAUAAGAGCUGGGCAAGACCGGUGCCAGCCGCCGCGGUAAUACCGGCAGCUCAAGUGAUGUCCCAUAUUAUUGGACCUAAAGCGUCCGUAGCUGGCCGACCAAGUCUACCGGGAAAUCCACCCGCCCAACGGGUGGGCGUCCGGUAGAAACUGGCCGGCUUGGAACCGGAAGGCUCAGAGAGUACGUCCGGGGUAGGAGUGAAAUCCCGUAAUCCCGGACGGACUACCGAUGGCGAAAGCACUCUGAGAAGACGGCUUCGACAGUGAGGGACGAAAGCUCGGGUCUCAAACCGGAUUAGAUACCCCGGUAGUC
rnacentral:rRNA from 1 species